rnacentral:rRNA from 1 species
UGAAUACGAGACGCUAAGGCGUCGAAGUAGUGUAUGUCAUACUUCCAAGAAGAGCUUGCACUGUCAUAGAUAAAAAACGCCUGUACCAUAACCGACGCAGGUGGGUAGGUAGAGUAUACUAAGGGGCGCGAGAUAACUCUCUCUAAGGAACUCGGCAAAAUAACUCCGUAACUUCGGGAGAAGGAGUGCCUUAUUCGUAAGGUUGCAAUAACAAGAUCCAAGCAACUGUUUAUCAAAAACACAGGUCUCCGCUAAGUCGUAAGACGAUGUAUGGGGGCUGACGCCUGCCCAGUGCCAGAAGGUUAAAGAAGUUGGUUAGCAAUUGCGAAGCUGAUAACUGAAGCCCUGGUGAACGGCGGCCGUAACAAUAACGGUCCUAAGGUAGCGAAAUUCCUUGUCGGGUAAGUUCCGACCCGCACGAAAGGCGUAAUGAUUUGGAUACUGUCUCGAAGAGGGGCUCGGUGAAAUAGACUUGUCUGUGAAGAUGCGGACUACCUGCACCAGGACAGAAAGACCCUAUGAAGCUUUACUGUAACUUGAAAUUGAAAUUGGACUUUAUUCGCGCAGUAUAGGUGGGAGGCGUUGAUUAUAAUCUUGUGGGAUUAUUGGAGCCAUCAGUGAGAUACCACUCUUGUAAUGUUAGAUUUCUAACUUUGAAUCAUUAUCUGGUCAAAGAACAGUUUCAGGCGGGCAGUUUGACUGGGGCGGUCGCCUCCUAAACGGUAACGGAGGCGUACAAAGGUUUCCUCUGAACGGUUAGAAAUCGUAUCUAGAGUGUAAAGGCAUAAGGAAGCUUGACUGUGAGACCUACAAGUCGAGCAGGGACGAAAGUCGGUCUUAGUGAUCUGACGGUACUGAGUGGAAAGGCCGUCACUCAACGGAUAAAAGUUACUCUAAGGAUAACAGGCUGAUCUCCCCCAAGAGUUCACAUCGACGGGGAGGUUUGGCACCUCGAUGUCGGCUCAUCGCAUCCUGGGGCGGUAGUACGUCCCAAGGGUUGGGCUGUUCGCCCAUGAAAGCGGUACGCGAGCUGGGUUCAGAACGUCGUGAGACAGUUCGGUCCAUAUCCGGUGUAGGCGUUAGAAUAUUGAGAGGAGCCUUCUUUAGUACGAGAGGACCGAGAAGGACAUACCUCUGGUGUACCAGUUAUCGUGCCAACGGUAAACGCUGGGUAGCUAUGUAUGGAGUGGAUAACCGCUGAAAGCAUCUAAGUGGGAAGCCCACCUCAAGAUAAGUAUUCUCAU